CGAAACUAUACUGCGCGUUCCACUACAUAUGACAAGCAAACGUUACAUAAAUACCAUGCAUCUACUACACAAUUAUAUGCAUUCAAAGGAAUAGAAUAUGCAAGAUUGUCCGUCACCUCCAUUAAAGUGUCACAUUCUUUGAUCAAAGCAUAUAGGCAAGGAAUCGUGCAAACGAAAGCCAAAGACAUAUUGCACUCAAACUAAACCGAUUCAAUUUUACUGCCCAUUCGUAGUCUAUGGAUAUAUUAAGAGAGCAACGAAAUUAAUUAAGAUUAGCAAUAAGCAA